CGCCCUAGGGGAGCCCUGUGGGUGCCCCCCCCCCUCCGGGCUUGGCCGGGGUGGUCGCAAAUCCGUCCGUGGGCGACCUGUUACCCCGGAGCUUCCCCAGUGAGCAGCGACCGAAGCUGCCGUCAUGGAGGUGGGGAGCCCGCGACUGCUCACUCAGGCCCUUUGCUUGGAGCGGGAACCGGGCCUGAGCACCAGCCUCUAACCCGACGCUUAGCGCGCCACCGGCCUGCGACGGGCACGGGCUGCUUGGAGCUUGCGCGCGGCAUGUUAGAAACCCAUCUUCCUCUACUCCACUACCAAAUGUUGAGGUUCUUCAAGAUCAGUCACUUGAAGAUGAUGUCAACAAAAAUUGCGAGUAGGGAACUCCAAGGAUAUGUCCCUCUACAUAAAGAGCAUAUAAAUUGCAAAUAUUAUUAGAAUCAAGUUUAUGUGAACUCUGGAAGCUAAUCAAACAUUACAGUAACCAGACAGACAAUCAAGAAAAAGGUUGUUGAACCUCAGGAGCUUUGUGUCAUUUAAACUUACUGUGGCCCCAUUUCCUUAUCCCCAGUUCAUUGACAGCAGUUUUGAAGACAGCAGCCUACAUUUCUGGCAUAGAUGCCUGGUGCCCGAGAGAGCAGAAUGGACCUUGUCCUCAAAGAAUUGUGGUAGUUUGUUUUGACAAGCCUGUCUGUCUGUCUCUUUCUCCUCCCCCUCCACUCUGAAAAGCAAUGGGAAAAAAAUAUCCUUGAGUGAGGAUUAAAAUAUAUCACUGUGUCAUCUACUUAGAAGUUUUCAAUGGCUCCCUUUAUCACUCAUAGUGAAACCUACAGUCAUAACAUUGGUAUACAAAAGCCUUUCUCCCCUUCCUCUCUGACCUCAUCUCCAAUUCUCUGCCCUUGCUUGCUCCAAUGGCCUCCUUGUCCUUCAGAUGAUCUGGGAUACUACUACUUGAGGGUUUUUGCACAAGAUGUUUAUUCUGCAUUCUUCUAUAUAUCCACUUGGCUUAACUUCCUUAUUUCCUUUAAGUUCUUGCUCAAUUUUUACUUUCUCCGGGCAGCCUAAUUUGAUCACCAUAUUUAAAAUUGAAGCCCUUCCACAUGUACUCAUGAAUCCCCUUUCUCUGCUUUGUUUUUAUUUUGCCUAUAAAACUUGUGACCUUCUAGCAUGCUGUAUAAUUUACUUAAUUAUUUUUAUUGCCUGUUACCCACUAAUGUAAGUUCCACAAGCGUAGGAACCAUUGUCUCUUGCUCACUGAUAUAUCCCAAGUAUGUGACUCAUAGUUGGUGCUCAAUAAGUAUUUGUUGAAGAAUGAAUAAAUGAAUUAAAAAACCUUAACAACUUACUAAUUGUUAAAACACUUGUGGAUGAAAAGGAGAUAUAUAACAGUUCACUGACCAAGAGUAACUUCACAAGGUGAUCUGAUCAUUAAUUCCUAACUGGGAAGGUCAUGGUGGGUAGUCACACCCCAGGCCUGUAACUUUAGUAAAAGGUUUUUAAGCAAGCCCUGCCUAUCGUUCUUGUGCAUCUAGGUUAACACACCUUGAAAUGCCAUAAGUAAUUCUCUUUUCCAGACACCUCAAAGGCAUAACCACCCUCACGGGUGCACGUAAUCUUAACUAUCCUGUACCUUGCUUUCUCCCACCUUCAUGUAAUUUUCUUUGCUCCAUCCUUAAUCCCAAAUGUAUAAAAGAAACUGCAAAACUGUUAUUCCCUGGAACAUUUGAAAUCUUGCUUCCCAGUAUUGUUGUCAGUUUGUCUCAAAUAAACUCUUCUAAAAAUUA